GAUGAACGCUGGCGGCGUGCCUAAUACAUGCAAGUCGAGCGAACCGCCUCGGUGGUGAGCGGCGAACGGGUGAGUAGCACGUAGGUGAUCUGCCCAUCAGACGCGGACAACGAUUGGAAACGAUCGCUACUACCGGACAGGACUAAAGUUUAAACGUGCAUCUGGCACCGCUGAUGGAUGAGCCUGCGGAGCAUGAGCUAGUUGGUAGGGUAAAGGCCUACCAAGGCGACGAUGCGUAGCCGACUUGUGAGGGUGAACGGCCACACUGGGACUGAGACACGGCCCAGACUCCUACGGGAGGCAGCAGUAGGGAAUCUGCGGCAAUGGGCGAAAGCCUGACCGAGCAACGCCGCGUGAAUGAUGAAGGCCUUCGGGUUGUAAAAUUCUGUUAUAAGGGAAGAACAAGUAUCGGAGUAACUGCCGGUACCUUGACGGUACCUAACCAGAAAGCCACGGCUAACUACGUGCCAGCCGCCGCCGUAA
rnacentral:rRNA from 1 species